UACGGGGGGAGCAAGCGUUGUUCGGAUUUACUGGGCGUAAGGGCGCGUAGGCGGCCAGCACAAGUCAGUUGUGAAAUCUCCGAGCUUAACUCGGAAAGGUCAACUGAUACUGUGCGGCUAGAGUGCGGAAGGGGCAACUGGAAUUCUUGGUGUAGCGGUGAAAUGCGUAGAUAUCAAGAGGAACACCUGCGGCGAAGGCGGGUUGCUGGGCCGACACUGACGCUGAGGCGCGAAAGCGUGGGGAGCGAACAGG
rnacentral:rRNA from 1 species